ensembl:lncRNA
CAGAGCGGCUGGACUGUGGAUUGUUGCUGGCAAGAGGCUGGUGAGUUCUAUCCUUCAUCGCUGUGUAAUAUGCCGAAAGCUCAGGGGGAAGGUAGAAGUGCAAAAGAUGGCUGACCUCCCUCCGGAGCGGCUCAACACAUCUCCACCCUUCACGUACGUGGGGCUGGACAUAUUUGGACCAUGGUCGGUGGUCACUCGACGCACUCGUGGAGGUGCAGCGCAAAGCAAAAGGUGGGCCAUUCUGUUCACAUGUAUGAGUACCAGGGGAGUACACAUCGAAGUUAUAGAGUCUAUGGAUGCCACCAGCUGUAUCAAUGCAUUGCGGAGAUUCUUUGCAGUUAGAGGCCCCGCAAAGCAGCUUAGGUCAGACAGGGGGACUAACUUCGUCGCUGCCAGCGCGGAACUGGGCAUGGGGUGUCUUGAUGAGAGGCAGACCAGCAUCCUGAAGUAUCUCCACAGCAACGGCUGCACAUGGAAGUUCAAUCCCCCGCACGCCUCCCACAUGGGGGGAGUGUGGGAGCGUAUGAUUGGGGUGACACGCAGAAUAUUAGACUCUAUGCUUUUACAAAACAAACGCACUCACCUGACACAUGAGGUUCUGUGUACCCUGAUGGCAGAGACCUCAGCAAUAAUCAACGCAAGGCCGCUGGUCCCCAUCUCAUCGGAUCCCUCCUCACCAGUUCUGCUAUCCCCUGCCAUGCUCCUAACUCAAAAGCCAGGCCUACAUGCUCCACCAGGAAUCUUCACUGGAAAAGAUCUCCUGAAAGGCCAGUGGAGGCAAGUGCAAGCGCUUGCGAACGAAUUCUGGGGCCGUUGGAGAAACGAAUACCUAAGCACGCUCCAUUCAAGACGCAAGUGGCACAGAACGCAUCGGAACCUGCAACCUGGGGACAUUGUGCUGUUACACCAAAGUCAAGCGCCUAGGAAUGAGUGGCCAAUGGCUCUGGUCACGUCAACCUCUCCAAGCAGCGAUGGAAAGGUCCGCACAGUUGAAGUACGGACAUCAUCUCAGGGCACCUCGAAGACUUACCUGCGGCCCAUCUCCGACGUCGUCCUCCUGCUGGAAAAUGACUGGGAAGAACGGGAUUGAAAAGGACAGGGAGAAAACAGCUUAAAUUUAGUGGCAUUAGUCAUGCCAG